rnacentral:piRNA from 7 species
GAGCCCGGAUAGCUCAGUCGGUAGAG